CGCCCCUGCCGCUGGCGGAAGAUGUUCUCCCUGCUGCCUCUUGUGUGUCUUUUAAUUUGAUCUGUACUUUCUCUAUAGUUGGGGCUAUCAUAUAGGAGAAAUGUGCAGUAGCUUGAGCAAUGGGACCCUAAGAGGCCGUCAGGAGACUUCACCCCCGAGACAGGUCACCGCAGACAGCGACCAUCCUUGUCUUUCCAGGCCUGAGCCCCGAUGUGCUGCAGUACGGUCUCUGCGAAGGGGUGCAGGCGCAGGCACCUUGCGCUUGGACUCCCAACCUCCAAGCCCUGAGCCACAUCGAGCACCUCUCCUCCUGAAGGACUCAGUCUCAAGCACACUGCUGCCUUGAUUCCUGAAUUUAAUUUAUUCCACAAUUUGCAAAAGAAGGGCAGUUUGUGUUUGUGCAGGAAAUAUGGCUGUGGCCAUGUCUGUCACUGGACACAUAGUUUGCAAACAAAAACAAAAUUUCACUAAAUGCUUUUGUUUGCAAACCAAACUAUCACAAACAAAAGGGUUGGUGAACCAAGGUGCUACUGUGCGGCCCAUCAGCUAAUGACUUCUUCGUGUCCACUUCCUGCUGCCGGGAUCCCUUUCCCCCUCUGUGAGUCCUGGGCACCUGCUGUGGUUCCAUGAUGUCCUCGGUUCCCAGCUGUUGCUCAGGUCACGAGGGGGGCACCCCAAUUUGUUAGGUCCAGUGGUCACUUCCUAUGUUGGUCACUUUCCUCCUAGCUUGGACACACUUCACUGGGCACUCUGGAGGAGUUAGUAUUGGGCCCAUUUUCCUCUCUACCCACAUAGCCCCUGGACAACAUUGUUUUGCCCUAAGGAUUAAAAUUCCAUGCUAAGAUAUUUUCUGGAUUUGGCUUUUUUCACUCAGGAAAAAAAAAAAAAAAA
rnacentral:lncRNA from 1 species